AUUGAACGCUGGCGGCAUGCUUUACACAUGCAAGUCGAACGGUAACAGGCCGCAAGGUGCUGACGAGUGGCGAACGGGUGAGUAAUGCAUCGGAACGUGCCCAGUCGUGGGGGAUAGCGCAGCGAAAGCUGCGCUAAUACCGCAUACGAUCUAUGGAUGAAAGCGGGGGACCGUAAGGCCUCGCGCGAUUGGAGCGGCCGAUGUCAGAUUAGGUAGUUGGUGGGGUAAAGGCUCACCAAGCCAACGAUCUGUAGCUGGUCUGAGAGGACGACCAGCCACACUGGGACUGAGACACGGCCCAGACUCCUACGGGAGGCAGCAGUGGGGAAUUUUGGACAAUGGGCGCAAGCCUGAUCCAGCAAUGCCGCGUGCAGGAAGAAGGCCUUCGGUUGUAAACUGCUUUGUACGGUAACGAAAAGGGACUCUGGUUAAUACCUGGGGCGACAUGACGGUACCGUAAGAAUAAGCACCGGCUAACUACGUGCCAGCAGCCGACGG
rnacentral:rRNA from 1 species